rnacentral:rRNA from 1 species
GAUGAACGCUGGCGGCGUGCCUAAUACAUGCAAGUCGAGCGAACAGAUAAGGAGCUUGCUCCUUUGACGUUAGCGGCGGACGGGUGAGUAACACGUGGGUAACCUACCUAUAAGACUGGGAUAACUUCGGGAAACCGGAGCUAAUACCGGAUAAUAUUUCGAACCGCAUGGUUCGAUAGUGAAAGAUGGUUUUGCUAUCACUUAUAGAUGGACCCGCGCCGUAUUAGCUAGUUGGUAAGGUAACGGCUUACCAAGGCGACGAUACGUAGCCGACCUGAGAGGGUGAUCGGCCACACUGGAACUGAGACACGGUCCAGACUCCUACGGGAGGCAGCAGUAGGGAAUCUUCCGCAAUGGGCGAAAGCCUGGCGGAGCAACGCCGCGUGAGUGAUGAAGGUCUUCGGAUCGUAAAACUCUGUUAUUAGGGAAGAACAUACGUGUAAGUAACUGUGCACGUCUUGACGGUACCUAAUCAGAAAGCCACGGCUAACUACGUG